ensembl:lncRNA
GAUUAUUUUAAGCGCAACUAAAGGGACUAAAAGUUUCGAUCGACAGUUUAUAACAACAUGACCAUAAGUGUAGAUAAAUCAAAUAAUGAUAACGAUGAUCAAAAAGAAAUAUCAAAAAAGAGGCCAAAUACAAGUCGAGACACACCUGCAAAGAUUGCCAAAACAGAUCAAAAUUCAUCUGAUGACAAUGAUAUUAACAUAAUAGAUAAAGGUGAAAAUAAUUCACAUGAAGGUGACUCCAACAUAUGUAAUAACUAUAAUGACGAUAACUGUGACAAUGAUAACAAUAUAAAUAAUUUAGAAGAGACAAAAGAUAAUGAUCUUAUAAGUACAUGUAAUGAUAAAAAUAAACAUAAAGAUAAAUUACAUGAAGAAGAAACGUGUGGAGGGGAAAAGGAUGUAUCUGAUAAUGUAAAGGAUAUAGGUACAACUAGCCAUAAACAAUCAGAACAUAACAAUUAUGAUGAAGGCACAAAAACUACAAUUACUAUAAGAAAUGUAGAAGUUGACCAAAAAAAAAAAAAAGAGAAAAAAAUAGAAAAUAAAAUUAUUGGAAAAAAAAAGAAAUCAAAAAAUAUUGAAAAAAUUAUUAACAAGAAAAUAAAAAACAAAACUAAAAAUGUUAUAAUAAAGGAUGUAUGUAGUGAUGAAAAUGCGCCUUUAGAAUGUGACAAAAAUGAGGAAGGGGAAGAAGAAGAGGAGGAGGAAGAAGAAGAGGAAGAGGAAGAGGAAGAGGAAGAGGAGGAGAAAGAGGGAGGAGAGGAAGAGAAAAAGGAAGAGGAAAAGGAAAAGGAAGAGGAAAAGGAAAAGGAAGAGGAAAAGGAAAAGGAAGAGGAAAAGGAAGAGGAAAAGGAAAAGGAAGAGGAAAAGGAAGAGGAAGAGGAAAAGGAAGAGGAAGAGGAAAAGGAACAGGAAGAAGACAAAGAAAAGGUAGAGAAAAAGAAAAAGGAAAAGGAAGAAGAAAAGGAAAAAGAAGAAAAAGAAGAAGUAACAGCUAACGUUGAAGUAGUAAAGGGGGAAGAAGUAAAGGAAGAGGAUGAAAAAGAAGAGGAUGAAGAAGAAGAGGAUGAUGAAGAAAUAACUUCCGAUUUAGAUAAGACAAAUACAAGCGCAGAAAAGACGCCUAGUGAAGAAAUGACAAUUGAUGAAGAAGAUAGUGUAGGGAAAGGGACUGAUGAUAAAAGCAGUAUAAAUAAAAGUCUAAAUAGGUUAAUUUUUUUUUUUUUUUUUUUUUUUUUAAAUAAAAAAAUUUUACAUAUUAAAAUAUGUACAUAUUGGGGUUUGUAUAACAUUUAUCAUAUGUUUUUAGUUCUAGUUGCUGAUUAAGUUAUAGCUCUAAAUAUAGGUUGAUUAUAACAUCAAUUAUAACAUUAAUUUUAUUUUAUUUUUUUUUUCUUGUAGUGAUACUGAUA